rnacentral:rRNA from 1 species
GACGAACGCUGGCGGCGUGCUUAACACAUGCAAGUCGAACGGACAGGCCCUGCUUUUUUGGGGUGCUCGAGUGGCGACCGGGUGAUUAACCCGUGAGUAACCUGCCCUUGACUUUGGUAUAACUUCAUGAAACUUGGGCUAAUACCUGAUAGGAUCUCCUGCUGAAUGGUGGGUGUUGUAAGGUUUCGUCGUAUGUGGUUGGACUGGCGGCUUAUCAGCUUAUUGGUGGGUGAGUGGCUUACCAAGGCUGCGACGGGUAGCCGGCCUGAGAGGGUGGCCGGACAAAUUGGGACGGAGAUAAGGCACAGACUAGUAUGGGAGGCAGGGGGGGGGAAGAUUGUACAAUGGGAGGAAGCAAGAUGUAGCAAAGCCGCGUGGGGGAAGACGGGAAGCGGGUUGGAAAGCGAUUUCGCCUGUGAAGAAGCGUGAGUGACGGUAAUGGGUAAAGAAGCACCGGCUAACUACGUG